GCACGAUUCAAUAAAAAAUAAAUAAAAAAAAGCCCAACCUUGACCUUAACUCCCCUUUCAACAACCGCCCUAUCUCGCUGCUGCCUUUUGCGUCCAAAAUCCUUGUAAGACUUGUGUAUGUGAGAUUGACAGAUUUCCUCGAGUCCGAUUCUCUGCUCGACCCACUUCAGUCUGGUUUCCGUGCUCAGCACUCUGUGGAAACUGCUCUGACCAAAGUAUUAAACGAUCUACU